rnacentral:rRNA from 1 species
GGGUUGUGAGGUUAAGUGACUAAGCGUACACGGUGGAUGCCUAGGCAGUCAGAGGCGAUGAAGGGCGUGCUAAUCUGCGAAAAGCGUCGGUAAGGUGAUAUGAACCGUUACAACCGGCGAUACCCGAAUGGGGAAACCCAGUGUGUUUCGACACACUAUCAUGUCAUGAAUACAUAGUGGCAUGAGGCGAACCGGGGGAACUGAAACAUCUAAGUACCCCGAGGAAAAGAAAUCAACCGAGAUUCCCCCAGUAGCGGCGAGCGAACGGGGAGGAGCCCAGAACCUGAAUCGGCUUGUGUGUUAGUGGAAGCGUCUGGAAAGUCGCGCAGCAAAGGGUGAUAGCCCCGUACACUAAAAUGCACAGGUCGUGAGUUCGAUGAGUAGGGCGGGACACGUGACAUCCUGUCUGAAUAUGGGGGGACCAUCCUCCAAGGCUAAAUACUCCUGACUGACCGAUAGUGAACCAGUACCGUGAGGGAAAGGCGAAAAGAACCCCGGCGAGGGGAGUGAAAUAGAACCUGAAACCGUGUACGUACAAGCAGUGGGAGCACCUUCGUGGUGUGACUGCGUACCUUUUGUAUAAUGGGUCAGCGACUUAUAUUUUGUAGCAAGGUUAACCGUAUAGGGGAGCCGUAGGGAAACCGAGUCUUAACUGGGCGAUUAGUUGCAAGGUAUAGACCCGAAACCCGGUGAUCUAGCCAUGGGCAGGUUGAAGGUUGGGUAACACUAACUGGAGGACCGAACCGACUAAUGUUGAAAAAUUAGCGGAUGACUUGUGGCUGGGGGUGAAAGGCCAAUCAAACCGGGAGAUAGCUGGUUCUCCCCGAAAGCUAUUUAGGUAGCGCCUCGUGAACUCAUCUUCGGGGGUAGAGCACUGUUUCGGCUAGGGGGCCAUCCCGGCUUACCAAACCGAUGCAAACUCCGAAUACCGAAGAAUGUUAUCACGGGAGACACACGGCGGGUGCUAACGUCCGUCGUGAAGAGGGAAACAACCCAGACCGCCAGCUAAGGUCCCAAAGUCAUGGUUAAGUGGGAAACGAUGUGGGAAGGCACAGACAGCCAGGAUGUUGGCUUAGAAGCAGCCAUCAUUUAAAGAAAGCGUAAUAGCUCACUGGUCGAGUCGGCCUGCGCGGAAGAUGUAACGGGGCUAAACCAUGCACCGAAGCUGCGGCAGCGACGCUUAGGCGUUGUUGGGUAGGGGAGCGUUCUGUAAGCCGUUGAAGGUGGCCUGUGAGGGUUGCUGGAGGUAUCAGAAGUGCGAAUGCUGACAUAAGUAACGAUAAAGCGGGUGAAAAGCCCGCUCGCCGGAAGACCAAGGGUUCCUGUCCAACGUUAAUCGGGGCAGGGUGAGUCGACCCCUAAGGCGAGGCUGAAAAGCGUAGUCGAUGGGAAACAGGUUAAUAUUCCUGUACUUGGUGUUACUGCGAAGGGGGGACGGAGAAGGCUAGGCUGGCCGGGCGACGGUUGUCCCGGUUUAAGCGUGUAGGGGGUGUGACCUGGUAAAUCCGGUUGCAUACUAACCCUGAGGCGUGAUGACGAUGCACUACGGUGCAGAAGUAGUUGAUGCCCUGCUUCCAGGAAAAUCCUCUAAGCUCCAGGUAACAUUAAAUCGUACCCCAAACCGACACAGGUGGUCAGGUAGAGAAUACCAAGGCGCUUGAGAGAACUCGGGUGAAGGAACUAGGCAAAAUGGUGCCGUAACUUCGGGAGAAGGCACGCUGGCAUGUAGGUGAAGUCCCUUGCGGAUGGAGCUGAAGCCAGUCGAAGAUACCAGCUGGCUGCAACUGUUUAAUAAAAACACAGCACUGUGCAAACACGAAAGUGGACGUAUACGGUGUGACGCCUGCCCGGUGCUGGAAGGUUAAUUGAUGGGGUCAGCCGCAAGGCGAAGCUCUUGAUCGAAGCCCCAGUAAACGGCGGCCGUAACUAUAACGGUCCUAAGGUAGCGAAAUUCCUUGUCGGGUAAGUUCCGACCUGCACGAAUGGCGUAAUGAUGGCCAGGCUGUCUCCACCCGAGACUCAGUGAAAUUGAACUCGCUGUGAAGAUGCAGUGUACCCGCGGCAAGACGGAAAGACCCCGUGAACCUUUACUAUAGCUUGACACUGAACAUUGAGCCUUGAUGUGUAGGAUAGGUGGGAGGCUUUGAAGCGUGGACGCCAGUCUGCGUGGAGCCAUCCUUGAAAUACCACCCUUUAAUGUUUGAUGUUCUAACUCGGCCCC